rnacentral:lncRNA from 1 species
GUAAUACAUGCCCUUGAGGUGUGCUGAGAAUAAAUAGACUGUCAUGGACAUUGUCGGCGUAGAUGAAGUCUGGGGUGUGAGAAGUGCCCUAGGAAUGGGGGUGCCUGCCCUGGUCUCUGAAGAAUGAUUUAGAAGGCAAGAACACACAAAAGCAGCUUCAAGCAGGAGAGCUCAGCCAUGUGGCCCAUGGUGCUGGCCCUGACCUCUGCUGUAGCCUGUGAACUGUAUUUCCAAGAAUCUCCCCUUCAGCAAUGAAAUUUUUCAGAGGCUGCCUGUCACCUACAAGAGUCUGACAUGGCAACAUGAGACCAUUGGGACCUUGCCAGAUGGACUGUUUCUGAGAUUCUGAAAUGCUUUCAGUGCCCCCUACUGCAGGAAGCAGGCUGAAGAACCAAGUCGGCUUCAAACACAUUCUUCCUUGGGACUGAGGAAGCAGCUCGGCAGUAGAACACUCACCUAAUAUUCAAGAGGCCCGGGAUUCAAUCCUUAGCACCAAACAAACAAAAGACACAUGACUGAGCUACCAGGGACUUAGAAGGUGGAGCUAAGAGUCAUGAAGAAUCUGUUUUAGGCUUUGAAACCUAAUCAAGAAACUUCUGGAAAUUUUCUGGCUAGAUUUCAAAACUGUUAUGGACCAGUACUUCUUUGUGAGUAGAAUGUCUAUAGCCUUUGUCCUAACCUAUCCCAACACUAUAUGUUGUAUAUCACAGGGGCAGAUCAUUUCUCUCUUUAGUUUCACACAUUGCCACAUUCAGCUUAAGCAACUUUCUCAAGCCAUAUCCACACCUGGACCUGAUUUGGAUGUAUGGAGGAACUUGUACCUGCAGACAACCAACAACUAUGUGCAUAUGCUUGGUACAAAUCCUUCCCCCAGGUGAACUCUGAGUUUCCUACAGCCCUGCUGGAUGCCUUGAGUGCAGCCUUAGGAGAAAUCCAAAGCCCAAAGAACCAAGCUAAGCCACACCUGGAUGCCUUACAUAUAGGAAAUAUGAGAUAAUGAAUAUUAUUUCAAACCAUGAAGUUUUGGGGUAAUUUAUGACACAGCAGUAGGUGUCUAAUAUAUCCACCCCGAGAUCCUGUUAGAC